rnacentral:rRNA from 1 species
UACGUAGGGUGCAAGCGUUAAUCGGAAUUACUGGGCGUAAAGCGUGCGCAGGCGGUUUUGUAAGACAGAUGUGAAAUCCCCGGGCUCAACCUGGGAACUGCAUUUGUGACUGCACGGCUGGAGUGCGGCAGAGGGGGAUGGAAUUCCGCGUGUAGCAGUGAAAUGCGUAGAUAUGCGGAGGAACACCGAUGGCGAAGGCAAUCCCCUGGGCCUGCACUGACGCUCAUGCACGAAAGCGUGGGGAUCAAACAGG